rnacentral:rRNA from 1 species
UACGUAGGGUCCGAGCGUUGUCCGGAAUUAUUGGGCGUAAAGAGCUCGUAGGCGGUUUGUCGCGUCUGCUGUGAAAUCCCGAGGCUCAACCUCGGGUCUGCAGUGGGUACGGGCAGACUGGAGUGCGGUAGGGGAGAAUGGAAUUCCUGGUGUAGCGGUGGAAUGCGCAGAUAUCAGGAGGAACACCAGUGGCGAAAGCGGCUCUCUGGGGGCAACCUGACGCUGAGGCGCGAAAGCGUGGGGAGCGAACCGG